rnacentral:misc_RNA from 1 species
AACUUUUAGCAAUGGAUCUCUUGGCUCUCGCAUCGAUGAAGAACGCAGCGAAAUGCGAUACGUAAUGUGAAUUGCAGAAUUCUGUGAAUCAUCGAAUCUUUGAACGCACCUUGCGCCCCUUGGUAUUCCGAGGGGCACACCCGUUUGAGUGUCGUGAAAAUCUCAACCUUCUCGGUUUCUUCUGGACACCGAAGGAGGCUUGGACUUUGGAGGCCUUUGCUGGCGUCUCUCGCCAGCUCCUCUCAAAUGAAUUAGUGGGGUCCUCUUUGCCGACCCUCGACGUGUGAUAAGAUGUUUCCAUGUCUUGGUUUAUGGCUCUGUUGCUUUUGGGACCCGCUUCUAACCGUCUCAACGAGACAACGUUCGAGCGUGUCGAACACUCUUGAACCCACGAACCCUUGACCUCAAAUCGGGUGAGACUACCCGCUGAACUUAAGCAUAUCAAUAAGCGGAGGCU